rnacentral:rRNA from 1 species
UUUUUGGAGAGUUUGAUCCUGGCUCAGGACGAACGCUGGCGGCGUGCCUAAUACAUGCAAGUCGAGCGAAUCAAUAGGAGCUUGCUCCUGUUGGUUAGCGGCGGACGGGUGAGUAACACGUGGGCAACCUGCCUGUAAGACUGGGAUAACUU